AUUGAACGCUGGCGGUAGGCCUAACACAUGCAAGUCGAACGCGAAAGUCCUUCGGGAUGAGUAGAGUGGCGGACGGGUGAGUAACGCGUAGGAAUUUAUCCUGUAGUGGGGGAGUAACGUUUCGAAAGGAACGCUAAUACCGCAUACGCCCCAAGGGGGAAAGCGGGGGAGUCUUCGGACCUCGUGCUAUAGGAGGAGCCUGCGUCGGAUUAGCUAGUUGGUGAGGUAAAGGCUCACCAAGGCGACGAUCCGUAGCUGGUCUGAGAGGAUGAUCAGCCACACCGGAACUGAGACACGGUCCGGACUCCUACGGGAGGCAGCAGUGGGGGAAUAUUGCGCAAUGGGCGAAAGCCUGACGCAGCCAUACCGCGUGUGUGAAGAAGGCCUUCGGUUGUAAAGCACUUUC
rnacentral:rRNA from 1 species